UACGGAGGGUGCAAGCAUUAAUCGGAAUUAUUGGGCGUAAAGGGCGCGUAGGCGGAUGUAUAAGUCAGAUGUGAAAUUCCGAGGCUCAACUUCGGAGCUGCAUUUGAAACUAUAGAUCUCGAGGAUUGGCGGGGAGAACGGAAUUCCACGUGUAGCGGUGAAAUGCGUAGAUAUGUGGAAGAACACCGGUGGCGAAAGCGGUUCUCUAGCUAAUAACUGACGCUGAGGCGCGAGAGCAAGGGGAGCAAACAGG
rnacentral:rRNA from 1 species